ACGCUCGACACCUACGGGAUGCAGCAGUCGGGAAUAUUGCGCAAUGGAGGAAACUCUGACGCAGUGACGCCGCGUGCAGGAAGAAGGUUUUCGGAUUGUAAACUGCUUUAGACAGGGAAGAAAAAAGACAGUACCUGUAGAAUAAGCUCCGGCUAACUACGUGCCAGCAGCCGCGGUAAUCUGAGGCGGGCUGGACGAAGGC
rnacentral:rRNA from 1 species